GACGUCUCCGAAAGCCCCGGAUGGGUCACGCCCACAUGGGUCACGCCCCGCGCCCCCCCCACCACCAAGGAGCUGUAUGUAAAUGUGGCGGCCAUGUUGGCUGAGGGGAGAAGUUGAAGCGGCGCCGUUUAAAGGGGCAACAGAUGGUAUCUGCCAUGCCUACAACCUGUGCAGCGAUUAAAUGUCCCGAGGAGCGAAGCAGAGAUUCGUUCAUGAGGGGUAUCACCUUUCAUGGUUUUCCAAAGGAUCCGUUUCGAAGAAAACAGUGGAGGAUAGCUGUUCGCCGAC